rfam:Ciona savignyi cont_20805, whole genome shotgun sequence.
UCCCAGGUGGUCUAGUAGUUAGGAUUCGUGGCUCUCACCCACGCGGCCCGGGUUCGAUUCCCGGUCUGGGAA